ACAGCCAGGAGACGUUCCCUGCGAUGUCUGCACUGAAACCAAGCUAAAGGCGGCGAAGUCCUGCCUUGUGUACUUGGCUUCUUACUGUGAGACUCAUCUGGAGCCCUAUUUGACGGCAUCGCGUCUGAAAAGGCAUCAGCUCAUGGAACCUGUGGAGGACUUGGAAGAAAGGAUAUGCGCACAGCACAGUAAACUGCUGGAGCUCUUCUGUCUGACGGACAACACAUGCAUCUGUUCUCUGCUCAAUUUGAGACCACAAGUCUCAUGAGUUCAUUCCUCUAGAAACCACUGUGUUGAUGAAGACACCUUAAUGGAACUGAGGACAUGAAAAAAUGAGGGGUUCUAACAGCAACUAUAUGAUUACCUGAAUGAAUACGACUUUGGUUUCAUCAAAAUAAAAGUAAUUUUAAUUUU